rnacentral:rRNA from 1 species
CCGGCGCACGGGUGAGUAACGCGUAUGUAAUCUACCUGUAACAGAGGGAUAACCCGGAGAAAUCCGGACUAAUACCUCAUAGCACAUAUUAUUCGCAUGAAUUUUAUGUUAAAGAGACUCGGUUGCAGAUGAACAUGCGUUCCAUUAGCUAGUUGGCGGGGUUACGGCCCACCAAGGCAACGAUGGAUAGGGGUUCUGAGAGGAAGGUCCCCCACACUGGUACUGAGACACGGACCAG